rnacentral:rRNA from 1 species
GACGAACGCUGGCGGCGUGCUUAACACAUGCAAGUCGAACGGAAAGGCCCUGCUUUUGUGGGGUGCUCGAGUGGCGAACGGGUGAGUAACACGUGAGUAACCUGCCCUUGACUUUGGGAUAACUUCAGGAAACUGGGGCUAAUACCGGAUAGGAGCUCCUGCUGCAUGGUGGGGGUUGGAAAGUUUCGGCGGUUGGGGAUGGACUCGCGGCUUAUCAGCUUGUUGGUGGGGUAGUGGCUUACCAAGGCUUUGACGGGUAGCCGGCCUGAGAGGGUGACCGGCCACAUUGGGACUGAGAUACGGCCCAGACUCCUACGGGAGGCAGCAGUGGGGAAUAUUGCACAAUGGGCGGAAGCCUGAUGCAGCAACGCCGCGUGCGGGAUGACGGCCUUCGGGUUGUAAACCGCUUUCGCCUGUGACGAAGCGUGAGUGACGGUAAUGGGUAAAGAAGCACCGGCUAACUACGUGCCAGCAGCCGCGGUGAUACGUAGGGUGCGAGCGUUGUCCGGAUUUAUUGGGCGUAAAGGGCUCGUAGGUGGUUGAUCGCGUCGGAAGUGUAAUCUUGGGGCUUAACCCUGAGCGUGCUUUCGAUACGGGUUGACUUGAGGAAGGUAGGGGAGAAUGGAAUUCCUGGUGGAGCGGUGGAAUGCGCAGAUAUCAGGAGGAACACCAGUGGCGAAGGCGGUUCUCUGGGCCUUUCCUGACGCUGAGGAGCGAAAGCGUGGGGAGCGAACAGGCUUAGAUACCCUGGUAGUCCACGCUGUAAACGGUGGGUACUAGGUGUGGGGUCCAUUCCACGGGUUCCGUGCCGUAGCUAACGCUUUAAGUACCCCGCCUGGGGAGUACGGCCGCAAGGCUAAAACUCAAAGGAAUUGACGGGGCCCCGCACAAGCGGCGGAGCAUGCGGAUUAAUUCGAUGCAACGCGUAGAACCUUACCUGGGUUUGACAUGGAUCGGGAGUGCUCAGAGAUGGGUGUGCCUCUUUUGGGGUCGGUUCACAGGUGGUGCAUGCCUGUCAUCAGCUCGUGUCGUGAGAUGUUGGGUUAAGUCCCGCAACGAGCGCAACCCUUGUUCACUGUUGCCAGCACGUUAUGGUGGGGACUCAGUGGAGACCGCCGGGGUCAACUCGGAGGAAGGUGGGGAUGACGUCAAGUCCUCAUGCCCCUUAUGUCCAGGGCUUCACGCAUGCUACAAUGGCUGGUACAGAGAGUGGCGAGCCUGUGAGGGUGAGCGAAUCUCGGAAAGCCGGUCUCAGUUCGGAUUGGGGUCUGCAACUCGACCUCAUGAAGUCGGAGUCGCUAGUAAUCGCAGAUCAGCAACGCUGCGGUGAAUACGUUCCCGGG